rnacentral:rRNA from 1 species
CCCGAACUCCUWCGGNGAGGCAGCAGUGGGGAAUAUUGGACAAUGGGCGCAAGCCUGAUCCAGCCAUGCCGCGUGUGUGAAGAAGGCUUUCGGGUUGUAAAGCACUUUCAGUGAGGAAGAACGCCUUGGGGCCAAUACCCCCGAGGAAGGACAUCACUCACAGAAGAAGCACCGGCUAACUCCGUGCCAGCAGCCGCGGUAAUACGGAGGGUGCGAGCGUUAAUCGGAAUUACUGGGCGUAAAGCGCGCGUAGGCGGCGUGAUAAGCCGGUUGUGAAAGCCCCGGGCUCAACCUGGGAACGGCAUCCGGAACUGUCAGGCUAGAGUGCAGGAGAGGAAGGUAGAAUUCCCGGUGUAGCGGUGAAAUGCGUAGAGAUCGGGAGGAAUACCAGUGGCGAAGGCGGCCUUCUGGACUGACACUGACGCUGAGGUGCGAAAGCGUGGGUAGCAAACAGGAUUAGAUACCCUGGUAGUCCACGCCGUAAACGAUGUCGACUAGCCGUUGGGGUCCUAGAGACCUUUGUGGCGCAGUUAACGCGAUAAGUCGACCGCCUGGGGAGUACGGCCGCAAGGUUAAAACUCAAAUGAAUUGACGGGGGCCCGCACAAGCGGUGGAGCAUGUGGUUUAAUUCGAUGCAACGCGAAGAACCUUACCUACCCUUGACAUCGUGCGAACUUGGUAGAGAUACCUKGGUGCCUUCGGGAACGCAUAGACWGGUGCUGCAUGGCUGUCGUCAGCUCGUGUUGYGAAAUGUUNGGGUUAAGUCCCGUAACGAGCGCAACYCUUGUCCCUAUUUGCCAGCGGGUAAUGCCGGGAACUCUAGGGAGACUGCCGGUGACAAACCSGNAGGAAGGWGGGGNACGACGUCAAGUCAUCMUGGSCC